AAUAUUGCGCAAUGGGGGGAACCCUGACGCAGCGACGCCGCGUGAGCGAAGAAGGCCUUCGGGUCGUAAAGCACUGUCCUCAGGGAAGAAGAAAGUGACGGUACCUGAGAAGAAAGCCCCGGCCAACUACGUGCCAGCAGCCGCGGUAACACGUAGGGGGCGAGCGUUGUCCGGAUUUAUUGGGCGUAAAGAGCUCGUAGGAGGCUCGGUAAGUCGGGUGUGAAAACUUAGGGCUCAACCCUGAGACGCCACUCGAUACUGCCGUGGCUAGAGUCCGGUAGGGGAGCGUGGAAUUCCUGGUGUAGCGGUGAAAUGCGCAGAUAUCAGGAGGAACACCAGCGGCGAAGGCGGCGCUCUGGGCCGGUACUGACGCUGAGGAGCGAAAGCGUGGGGAGCAAAC
rnacentral:rRNA from 1 species